rnacentral:tRNA from 1 species
GUUGAGAUGGUCGAGUUGGUUUAAGGUGUCAGAAUACAAUUUUCGUCCGAAAGGGCGUGGGUUCAAAUCCCACUCUCAACA